ACAGCUGGAGACCAUCUUUUCA
rnacentral:miRNA from 1 species